AUGAACCUCCUCCUCCCAUGCUUUUCAGCUUUCCAGUGUUGCCUUAUGUUCAAAAUAAGGCACUAUAUGUUAGCCUUGAGUCUCUUGCUCAUGGAUCAUCCCCAGGCGAGACAGAGGACCAAAGGAGAGACAGAGGAUUCGGUGCCAGCUGGAUUGCAUGGAAAGGCCCAGGCUGAGGCUUGCUAUACGCUUUUGGCAGAGCCAAAAACAUUUCUAGCUUUCCUCUCCCAACCAUGCAUAUCACCAUUUUACAAAGCAAGCUGUAGGGAAUGA
rnacentral:lncRNA from 1 species